ACAUGUGUGUGUGUGCAUGUGUGUCUGUGUACAUUUUUAUAUCAGGACAGCUCAAUUGUGUGAUAUAUUGCAGGUCUCAGCUGUUUGUGUGUGUGUGUGUGUGUGUGUGUGUGUGUGUGUGUGUGUGUGUGU